rnacentral:rRNA from 1 species
GACGAACGCUGGCGGCGUGCUUAACACAUGCAAGUCGAACGAUGAAGCUGGAGCUUGCUCCGGUGGAUUAGUGGCGAACGGGUGAGUAACACGUGAGCAAUCUGCCCUUGACUCUGGGAUAACUGCGGGAAACUGUAGCUAAUACCGGAUACUUUCACUGGAAGGCAUCUUCUGGUGAAGAAAGAAUUUCGGUCAAGGAUGAGCUCGCGGCCUAUCAGCUUGUUGGUGAGGUAACGGCUCACCAAGGCGACGACGGGUAGCCGGCCUGAGAGGGUGACCGGCCACACUGGGACUGAGACACGGCCCAGACUCCUACGGGAGGCAGCAGUGGGGAAUAUUGCACAAUGGGCGCAAGCCUGAUGCAGCAACGCCGCGUGAGGGAUGAAGGCCUUCGGGUUGUAAACCUCUUUUAGCAGGGAAGAAGCGAAAGUGUCGGUACCUGCAGAAAAAGCACCGGCUAACUACGUGCCAGCCGCCGCAGUAAAAC